rnacentral:rRNA from 1 species
CUCAAGAUUAAGCCAUGCAUGUCUAAGUAUAAGCGUUCUUAUACGGCGAAACUGCGAAUGGCUCAUUAAAUCAGUUAUAGUUUAUUUGAUGGUCUCUUACCACUUGGAUAACCGUGGUAAUUCUAGAGCUAAUACAUGCGUCAGUGCCCGACUUUUGCGGAAGGGUUGUAUUUAUUAGAUUCAAAACCAAUCGGGGGCUUUCGGGUCCUCGUUUCGGACGAUUCAUAGUAACUGUUUGGAGCGCAUCGGCCCUCGUGCCGGCGCCGGAUCAUUCAAGUUUCUGCCCUAUCAACUUUCGAUGGUAGGGUAUUGGCCUACCAUGGUUGCAACGGGUGACGGAGAAUUAGGGUUCGAUUCCGGAGAGGGAGCCUGAGAAACGGCUACCACAUCCAAGGAAGGCAGCAGGCGCGCAAAUUACCCAAUCCCGACACGGGGAGGUAGUGACAAUAAAUAACAAUACGGGGCUUUUUCAAGUCUCGUAAUUGGAAUGAGYCCAAUUUAAAUCCGUUAACGAGGAACAAUUGGAGGGCAAGUCUGGUGCCAGCAGCCGCGGUAAUUCCAGCUCCAAUAGCGUAUAUUAAAGUUGUUGCAGUUAAAAAGCUCGUAGUUGGAUUUCAGGCCGGYYCGAUCGGUCCGCCUGACGGCGCGUCAYUGAUCGGGCGGGUCUUCUUUCCAAGRAGCCAACGUGCUCUUAAUUGAUUGUGCCGGCGACUCGGGACUUUUACUUUGAGUAAAUUAAAUUGUUCAAAGCAGGCGAUGGGGCUUGAAUAGAUUAGCAUGGAAUAACGGAAUAGGACCUUUCGGUUCUGUUUUGUUGGUUUUGGGAACCGAGGUAAUGAUUAAUAGGGACAGUCGGGGGCAUUCGUAUUGAAUUGUCAGAGGUGAAAUUCUUGGAUUUAUGAAAGACGAACGCGUGCGAAAGCAUUUGCCAAGGAUGUUUUCGUUAAUCAGGAACGAAAGUUGGA